rnacentral:sRNA from 1 species
AGCAGCCGCGGUAAUUCCAGCUCCAAUAGCGUAUAUUAAAGUUGUUGCAGUUAAAAAGCUCGUAGUUGAAUUUCGGGAUUGGCGCAUCGGUCGUGCCUCACGGGGUAUGAACUGGUGCAGUCAAUUUCUCACCUUCUGGAGAACCGCGAUGUCCUUAAUUGGAUGCCGCGGGGAACCAGGACCUUUACUUUGAAAAAUUAGAGUGUUUAAAGCAGGCAUUUUUGCUUGAAUACAUUAGCAUGGAAUAAUAAAAUAGGACGGCAUGGUUCUAUUUUGUUGGUUUCUAGGACCACCGUAAUGAUUAAUAGGGAUAGUUGGGGGCAUUAGUAUUCAAUUGUCAGAGGUGAAAUUCUUGGAUUUAUUGAAGACUAACUACUGCGAAAGCAUUUGCCAAGGAUGUUUUCAUUAAUCAAGAACGAAAGUUAGGGGAUCGAAGACGAUCAGAUACCGUCGUAGUCUUAACCAUAAACUAUGCCGACUAGGAAUCAGACGAUGUUAAUUUUUAAUGACUCGUUUGGCA